GGUCAUCCAUACGAUUUCAGACUUGCAGUUUCCCGUCACUCGUUUGCCACCCAUUUUCAUCCGGAGGAGUAAUAUCCAUUUGUGGUUGUAAACAGAAAGGCCAAAGCGCGGCUUGGUACAAAAAUGUUGUGAUGAUUGUUAAUCUUCAGUUAAGGCUUUAUGCUCAAGAUCAUGUUUUACAGUUCAAGAAAGAAUAUUUUUCAGUGAGCCAUUUCAGAAGCUAGAAAGCUGGGGUUUUUUGCUUGGGUUGAAACUUGUUUUAUUGUAAAUUUGAUUAGCAAGGACUUUCAUAGAUAAAAGUUGUCUUUGUCAUACCAUGAAAAGGAGAGUGAAAGAGUUCUGGCACAUUGAUUGAAAAAGUGAUCCUGUAUAUAUAUUUUUCAACAAGAAAUGUAGUUAUGAUUCUGAUCUAUACAUACUAAUUUACUAAUUUACUCUGUUGUCCUUUGAUAAAAGUUUAUAAUGUUGAUUUAAAAUAAAGAAUAUCUGAAUUA